GACGAACGCUGGCGGCGUGCUUAACACAUGCAAGUCGAACGGAAAGGCCCUGCUUGCAGGGUACUCGAGUGGCGAACGGGUGAGUAACACGUGGGUGAUCUGCCCUGCACUUCGGGAUAAGCUUGGGAAACUGGGUCUAAUACCGGAUAGGAACCAUCUUUAGUGUGGUGGUUGGAAAGUUUUUUCGGUGUAGGAUGAGCUCGCGGCCUAUCAGCUUGUUGGUGGGGUAAUGGCCUACCAAGGCGGCGACGGGUAGCCGGCCUGAGAGGGUGUACGGCCACAUUGGGACUGAGAUACGGCCCAGACUCCUACGGGAGGCAGCAGUGGUGAAUAUUGCACAAUGGGCGCAAGCCUGAUGCAGCGACGCCGCGUGGGGGAUGAAGGCCUUCGGGUUGUAAACUCCUUUCGCUAGGGACGAAGCUUUUUGUGACGGUACCUAGAUAAGAAGCACCGGCUAACUACGUG
rnacentral:rRNA from 1 species